AUUGAACGCUGGCGGAAUGCUUUACACAUGCAAGUCGAACGGCAGCACGGACUUCGGUCUGGUGGCGAGUGGCGAACGGGUGAGUAACACAUCGGAACGUGCCCAGUCGUGGGGGAUAACGUAGCGAAAGCUACGCUAAUACCGCAUACGAUCUACGGAUGAAAGCGGGGGAUCGCAAGACCUCGCGCGAUUGGAGCGGCCGAUGGCAGAUUAGGUAGUUGGUAGGGUAAAGGCCUACAAAGCCGACGAUCUGUAGCUGGUCUGAGAGGAUGAUCAGCCACACUGGGACUGAGACACGGCCCAGACUCCUACGGGAGGCAGCAGUGGGGAAUUUUGGACAAUGGGCGCAAGCCUGAUCCAGCCAUUCCGCGUGCAGGAUGAAGGCCUUCGGGUUGUAAACUGCUUUUGUACAGAACGAAAAGGCUCUGGUUAAUACCUGGGGCUCAUGACGGUACUGUAAGAAUAAGCACCGGCUAACUACGUGCCAGCAGCCGCGGUAA
rnacentral:rRNA from 1 species